ensembl:misc_RNA Y_RNA Y RNA
GGCUGGCCCAAGUGCAAUGGUGUUUACAAGUAAUUGAUCACAGCCAAUUACAGAUUUCCUUGUUCCUUCUCCGCUCCCACUGCUUCACUUAACUAGCCUGCA